rnacentral:rRNA from 1 species
CAGCCGCCGCGGUAAUACGUAGGUCCCGAGCGUUGUCCGGAUUCAUUGGGCGUAAAGCGAGCGCAGGCGGUUAGAUAAGUCUGAAGUUAAAGGCUGUGGCUUAACCAUAGUACGCUUUGGAAACUGUUUAACUUGAGUGCAAGAGGGGAGAGUGGAAUUCCAUGUGUAGCGGUGAAAUGCGUAGAUAUAUGGAGGAACACCGGUGGCGAAAGCGGCUCUCUGGCUUGUAACUGACGCUGAGGCUCGAAAGCGUGGGGAGCAAACAGGAUUAGAUACCCCAGUAGUCCCUGUCUCUUAUACA